rnacentral:hammerhead_ribozyme from 1 species
AUCCAGCUGACGAGUCCAAAAAUAGAACGAAACACUCAAUCUGCAU